CCUACGGGAUGGCAGCAGUGGGGAAUAUUGGACAAUGGGCGAAAGCCUGAUCCAGCCAUGCCGCGUGUGUGAAGAAGGCCUUCGGGUUGUAAAGCACUUUCAGUGGGGAAGAAAGCCUUGGGGCUAAUACCCUCGAGGAAGGACAUCACCCACAGAAGAAGCACCGGCUAACUCCGUGCCAGCAGCCGCGGUAAUACGGAGGGUGCGAGCGUUAAUCGGAAUUACUGGGCGUAAAGCGCGCGUAGGCGGUCUGAUAAGCCGGUUGUGAAAGCCCCGGGCUCAACCUGGGAACGGCAUCCGGAACUGUCAGGCUAGAGUGCAGGAGAGGAAGGUAGAAUUCCCGGUGUAGCGGUGAAAUGCGUAGAGAUCGGGAGGAAUACCAGUGGCGAAGGCGGCCUUCUGGACUGACACUGACGCUGAGGUGCGAAAGCGUGGGUAGCAAACAGGAUUAGAUACCCCGGUAGUC
rnacentral:rRNA from 1 species